rnacentral:rRNA from 1 species
UACGAAGGGUGCAAGCGUUACUCGGAAUUACUGGGCGUAAAGCGUGCGUAGGUGGUUUGUUAAGUCUGAUGUGAAAGCCCUGGGCUCAACCUGGGAAUUGCAUUGGAUACUGGCAGGCUAGAGUGCGGUAGAGGAUGGCGGAAUUCCCGGUGUAGCAGUGAAAUGCGUAGAGAUCGGGAGGAACACCGGUGGCGAAGGCGGGUCUCUGGGCAAUUCCUGACGCUGAGGCGCGAAAGCGUGGGGAGCAAACGGG